rnacentral:rRNA from 1 species
CCUACGGGUGGCAGCAGUCGAGAAUCUUUCACAAUGGGGGAAACCCUGAUGGUGCGACGCCGCGUGGGGGAAUGAAGGUCUACGGAUUGUAAACCCCUGUUAUGUGGGAGCAAAUUAAAAAGCUAGUACCACAAGAGGAAUAGACGGCUAACUCUGUUCCAGCAGCCGCGUUAAUACAGAGGUCUCAAGCGUGGUUCGGAAUCACUGGUCGUAAGGGGUGCGUAGGCUGUUUCGUAAGUCGUGUGUGAAAGGCGCGGGCUCAACCCGCGAAGGGCAGAUGAUACUGCGAGACUAGAGUAAGGGAGGGGGAAGCGGAAUGCGCGGUGUAGCAGUGAAAUGCGUAGAUAUC